rnacentral:rRNA from 1 species
CGUUGUGAGAAGUUCAUUAAACCUUAUCAUUUAGAGGAAGGAGAAGUCGUAWCAAGGUUUCCGUAGGUGAACCGCGGAAGGAUCAUUG